GUGUUCACUUCAGCAGUACAUAUACUAACAUUAGAAAGAUACAGAGAUUAGCGUGUUCCCUGUGCAAGGAUGACGCUCGAAUUUGAGAAGCAUUGCAUAUUUUU